UACGUAGGGUGCGAGCGUUAAUCGGAGUUACUGGGCGUAAAGUGUGCGCAGGCGGCCGAGCAAGUCGAGUGUGAAAGCCCCGAGCUUAACUUGGGAAUUGCGCUCGAAACUACUUGGCUGGAGUGUGGCAGAGGAAGGUGGAAUUCCAGGUGUAGCGGUGAAAUGCGUAGAGAUCUGGAGGAACACCUGAGGCGAAGGCGGGCUACUGGGCCGAUACUGACGCUGAUGCGCGAAAGCCAGGGGAGCGAACGGG
rnacentral:rRNA from 1 species